CUCAGCCCCGCCCGCGCCACCGCCCGCCGCCACCGGGGGCGCCCACCGGGAGUGGACGCGAGGGACGCGGCAGAGCUAAGGGGCACGGCGCGGCUUGGUACCGUACGGUACGGCUCGGUACGGUACUGCACGGUAUGGUGCGGCUCGGCAUGGCAAGAUGCCUUUGGAGCCUGCUUGGGGAGCAACUUUAGAAGGAGGAAAGCCGUGUGUGCUGCCCACUGCAGCGUGUCUGCGUUGUGCUCAGUUGGCUGCCGGCGUUCCUGUGCCACACACACCUGCCAGCGCCCACGGACACAGCCAGGGCGGCACCGCCAGGGACCGGAGCGGGGAGGACGUGCAGUGUUUGAAGGCGGCGAUAACCCAACCUGCAGGAUUAAUGGGAAUGCAUUUGAAGUAUGAAGCACAAGGCCAUUUGCUUUGGGUAAAACUGUGAUUAAUAUGAAAUCAAGAUGUAAUUAAAAGCUACUGUCUUGGAAAAAAAUCAAACAAAA